UAGUCCAUGUUGUAAACGAUGAUCACUGGAUGUUUAGCCUUUAUGGUUGAGUGUCUAAGCGAAAGCGUUAAGUGAUCCACCUGGGGAAUACGGUCGCAAGACUGAAACUCAAAGGAAUUGACGGGGUCCGCACAAGCGGUGGAGCAUGUAGGUUUAAUUCGAUUAUACGCGAGGAACCUUUACCCGGGCUCGAACUCAUAAUGAUGUAUACAGAAAUGUAUAGUUCGCAAGACAUUAUGAGAGGUGUUGCAUGGCUGUCGUCAGCUCGUGCCGUGAGGUGUUUGGUUAAGUCCAUUAACGAGCGCAACCCCUAUACUUAGUUGCCAGCACGUCAAGGUGGGGACUCUAAGUAGACUGCCUGCGUAAGCAAGGAGGAAGGUGGGACGAGGUCAAGUCAUCAUGGCCCUUACGCCCGGGGCAACACACGUGCUACAAUUGGCUAAACAAUGGGAAGCAAUCUGGUAACAGUGAGCCAAUCCUUUAAAAUGAGUCAUAAAGUUCGGAAUUG
rnacentral:rRNA from 1 species